AGUAUCGAUGAAGAACGCAGCAAGCUACGAUAAACGGUGUAAAUUGCAGAACACGCCGAACACUUGAUCUUUGAACGCACAUUGCGGGCUAGCAUCAUUGACUAGCCCAUGUCUGUGUGAGGGUUGUAAAGAGAAAUAUCAACACAUAGUAUGGAGGGAUAGGGAGAGGAUUCGUAUCCGAUCGCUAUCCCAAAACACAUACAAACACACGUCGCUUGUUGGAUGAUGUAUUGUGCGAGAUACCAAGCGUAUCUAUUCACAGCACAUGCAUAUCUAUACGGUCCACUUGCGUAUUUCGUUGUUGUUGUCCUUACUCAGCAACCUCACAUCAGGCAAGAGCACCCGCUGAAUUUAAGCAUAUCACUAAGCGGAGGAAAAGAAAAAC
rnacentral:rRNA from 1 species